GUAAGGGUGUAUGGUGGAUGCCUAGACUUGCAAGAGGCGAUGAAGGACGUAGUUAAGCUGCGAUAAGCCACGGGGAGCUGCCAAGCAAGCUUUGAUCCGUGGAUCUCCGAAUGAGGAAACUCAUCUAGUGAAGAACUAGUUACCGAACCAGAGCAUAGCUUAGUAGGAGCGUCACAGUACCAGAACAAAGUUCGGUACUGGACUGCCCCGAACCGAGCUACGCUCUGGUUCGGAGCGUACCCAGGGAAGUGAAACAUCUCAGUACCUGGAGGAAAAUAGAACAAUUGUUAUUCCGUUAGUAGCGGCGAGCGAAAACGGAGAAGCCCAAACCCAGCCCUAGAUUUGAGUUAUUGAAAUUUCGAUAAUUCAAAUCUAGAGCUGGGGGUUGUAAGGGAGUGACGCAUUAACAUGGGAGAGUUACAAAAUGUUGUUUAAGAUGAAUUUGCUGGAAAGCAAAACCAUAGAAGGUAAUAGUCCUGUAGACAAAUAAACAACAUCUCUCUAGUCACUUUUCUUGAGUACCUCGGGACACGACUGGCCUGAGGGAAUCCGCCGGAACUAACCGGUAAGGCUAAAUACUCUGCAAGAUCGAUAGUGAAGAGUACCGUGAGGGAAAGGUGAAAAGCAGGCCGGUGAGGCCGUUGAAAUAGUUCCUGAAACCGUACACCUACAAGGAGUCAGAGUCCAGCCCCAGAUUUGAAUCGUCGAAGUUUCGAGGACUCAAAUCUGGGGCUGGGUGAUGGCGUGCCUAUUGAAGAAUGAGCCAACGAGUUAUUGCAAUUCCUUUGUCUAAGGGGUGAACCCCCGGAGGCGUAGCGAAAGCGAGUGUGAAUAGCGCGAACUAAGUAGGGAUUGCAUUAGACCCGAAGCCAGGCGAGCUUACCAUGUCCAGGGUGAACAAGAGAGAAAUCUCUUGGGAGGCCCGAACCGUUAGGUCGUUUAACGCCUUCGGAUGAGGUGUGGUAAGAAGUGAAAAGCUAAUCGAGCCUGGUAAUAGCUGGUUCUCUCCGAAAUCGCUUUCGGGCGAGCGUCAUGUGUUUCCACUAGGGGUAGAGCACUGGAAGGUUUCGACAGGGCGAAAGCUCGCGAAAUCUAUCAAACUCCGAAUACUAGUGUUUUAGCAUGGCAGUUAGACUCCGGGGGCUAAGCUCCGGUUGGUCAAAAAGGGAAGAGCCUAGAUCCACAAAUAAGGUCCCUAAAUAUAUGCUCAGUGCAUCUUAAGGAGGUGAUAUCUCUUAUACAAUGAGGAGGUUGGCUUAGAAGCAGCCAUCCUUUAAAGAAAGCGUAACAGCUCACUCAUCGAGAGAUUUCGCGCCGUAGAUAAUCGGGGCUUAAGCAUAUUACCGAAUUUUGGAAUUCAGUUUCGCUUCGGCGAGACUGUCUGGUAGGAGAGUGUUCGUAUCCGCUGUGAAGUAGUAGCUGUGAGGCGCUAUGGAGUGAUACGAAGUAAAAAUGUUGGCACAAGUAACCACAAUCUCGGUUAAAACCCGAGACGCCGAAAGAUCAAGGGUUCCUUCGCGACGACGAUCGACGAAGGGUUAGUCGGGCCUAAGCGGAUGGUGAAAACCGAACGCGAUGGACACACAGUUAAUAUUCUGUGACUCUUGCGUGUUCUGAUGGAGUGACGGAGUGCAGUAUGUUUCGCACAUUAUGGAUUUAUUGUGUCUGGUGUAUUAGGGUGAUUGUUAGGUAAAUCCGGCAGUUAUAGCCCAAGUAUGUCAGAAACUUUCCGGUACGCCGGGAGGGAUGAGACAAAGCGCGCUUCCAAGAAAAACUUCUAAAGAUUCAAACACGUAGGAACCGUACCGCAAACCAACACAGGUGAUCAGGUCGAGUAGACCAAGGCGAACGAGUGAGAGGUCCUCAAGGAACUCGGCAAAAAAGCGGCCGUAACUUCGGAAUAAGGCCUUCCCGUAGCAAUAUGGGACGCAGCUAAAGUUUCUCUGGCAACUGUUUACCAAAAACACAGCUCCCUGCGAACUCGCAAGAGGAUGUAUAGGGGGUGACGCCUGACCGAUGCCGUAAGGUCAAAUAUGGAUGGUACAUUGAAGCAAUUUGAUGUGCUGACUGUAUAAGCCCCGGUGAAUGUCGGCAAUAACUAUAAUUGUCCUAAGGUUACACACUGGACAACGUUAAUAAGUAUAUGUCAAGUGUGUAAGGACUAGGACGAUUAUAGAGGUAAACAACAGAGUCCGUCGCUAAGGUUCUAAAUAAAAAGACAGUGAAAAUAUAAAAUGUAAGACGCUGCCUAGCCCAGAAAUGGGUUGUCCCAAAAUAUCUGACUAUAUGCUGGGAAAUCCGUGAAUGUUCAAGUACUUGGCUGACUGUCAGCCAACAGCCAAGUGACAAUCUUGAAACGAUACGGACAAUCAGCAGGAAAGACGUUGUGAACUUCGUGGAAUGUUCUCAAGCGGGGUGUGGCGCAGACUGGUAGCGCGUCUCCUAAAGUACCCCAGUGGCCAAUCACUGGAAACGCCGGUAGCGCACCCCCGGCGCUGGUGCUCACGGAGAAGGUCAGAGGUUCAAAUCCUCCCGCCCCGAAUCAGCCCGAUUAUUUUAAUCGGGCGUUCCAUGAAGUUCAUAACGAAUCCUCAGAAACCAAACGUCAGACUCUGAUGAAAAUUGGAGAAGAUAGAGUUCGAUCUGCAUAGCGAUAUGCAGUUAACACAAAUUAGCGCAAUUCCUUGUCAGGUAAGAAAAUUGCCUGUUUCAGUAGUGAUACUGAUACAAAUCUGGCUAAUAACGGUGAACUCCUCGCCCGAGUCCGACAAAUCAAGGGUCGGACGAUGAAGACAGGACAAUACCGUGGGAAGUCGUUCAGCACUAAUUUUUGGAGUUAAAAAAGAGGUACCACCGCGAGGUGCGGUGGUAGUAGGUUGAUUAGCGACAUAGAGUCUUGCCGAUACUCACGUCGAGAUCGAAUGUCCCGACGAGAAUCAAAACGGUGAGCUCUACAUAAAUCACGAUAAGCGCCCGGCGUAUGCUGGCACAAUCGUCCGUGAUUUUUUCGCAAAGCAACUUGAGUUUGAUCAUAGAUACCGGAUACCUCCGUGUUUAUUAUAACAACAUCGUUAUAAUGAAUCCA
rnacentral:rRNA from 1 species